rnacentral:rRNA from 1 species
GAUGAACGCUAGCGGCAGGCCUAAUACAUGCAAGCCGAACGGUAACUUUGGUAGCAAUACUGAAGCUAGAGUGGCGUAAGGGUGCGUAACACGUAUGCAAUCUACCCUUAACAAGAGAAUAGCUCCCCGAAAGGGGAAUUAACUCUCUAUAUAAUCAUUUUAUGGCAUCAUGAGAUGAUGAAAACUGAGGUGGUUAAGGAUGAGCAUGCGUCUGAUUAGCUAGUUGGUAGUGUAAAGGACUACCAAGGCGAUGAUCAGUAGGGGAACUGA